rnacentral:rRNA from 1 species
CGUGGAGGUCCGAACCCACGAGCGUUGAAAAGCUCGGGGAUGACUUGUGGGUAGCGGUGAAAUUCCAAUCGAGCCCGGAGAUAGCUGGUUCUCCCCGAAAUAGCUUUAGGGCUAGCCUCAAGGUGAGGGAUACGGAGGUAGAGCACUGAAUGUCCUAGGGGGUAUUGCACCUACCGAAGACUAUCAAACUCCGAAUGCCGUCAUCUUAUACUUGGGAGUCAGACUGUGGGUGAUAAGAUUCAUAGUCGAAAGGGCAACAGCCCAGAUCGUCAGCUAAGGUCCCUA